AUCUGAACCUUCGGGGAACGAUAACGGCGUCGAGCGGCGGACGGGUGAGUAAUGCCUAGGAAAUUGCCCUGAUGUGGGGGAUAACCAUUGGAAACGAUGGCUAAUACCGCAUGAUGCCUACGGGCCAAAGAGGGGGACCUUCGGGCCUCUCGCGUCAGGAUAUGCCUAGGUGGGAUUAGCUAGUUGGUGAGGUAAGGGCUCACCAAGGCGACGAUCCCUAGCUGGUCUGAGAGGAUGAUCAGCCACACUGGAACUGAGACACGGUCCAGACUCCUACGGGAGGCAGCAGUGGGGAAUAUUGCACAAUGGGCGCAAGCCUGAUGCAGCCAUGCCGCGUGUAUGAAGAAGGCCUUCGGGUUGUAAAGUACUUUCAGUCGUGAGGAAGGCGGCGGCGUUAAUAGCGGCGUUGUUUGACGUUAGCGACAGAAGAAGCACCGGCUAACUCCGUGCCAGCAGCCGCGGUAAUACGGAGGGUGCGAGCGUUAAUCGGAAUUACUGGGCGUAAAGCGCAUGCAGGUGGUUUGUUAAGUCAGAUGUGAAAGCCCGGGGCUCAACCUCGGAAUAGCAUUUGAAACUGGCAGACUAGAGUACUGUAGAGGGGGGUAGAAUUUCAGGUGUAGCGGUGAAAUGCGUAGAGAUCUGAAGGAAUACCGGUGGCGAAGGCGGCCCCCUGGACAGAUACUGACACUCAGAUGCGAAAGCGUGGGGAGCAUACACGAUUAGAUACCCUGGUAGUCCACGCCGUAUACGAUGUCUACUUGGAGGUUGUGGCCCUGAGCC
rnacentral:rRNA from 1 species